UACGUAGGGGGCAAGCGUUGUCCGGAUUUAUUGGGCGUAAAGAGCGUGUAGGCGGCUGGGUAGGUCCGUUGUGAAAACUCGAGGCUCAACCUCGAGACGCCGAUGGAAACCCUCCAGCUAGAGUCCGGAAGAGGAGAGUGGAAUUCCUGGUGUAGCGGUGAAAUGCGCAGAUAUCAGGAGGAACACCGGUGGCGAAGGCGGGUCUCUGGGCCGAUACUGACGCUGAGGAGCGAAGCGUGGGGAGCGAACAGG
rnacentral:rRNA from 1 species